rnacentral:rRNA from 1 species
UACAGAGGGUGCGAGCGUUAAUCGGAAUUACUGGGCGUAAAGCGCACGUAGUCGGCUUUGCAAGUCGGGUGUGAAAUCCCCGGGCUCAACCUGGGAACUGCAUCCGAGACUGCAUUGCUAGAGUAUGGGAGAGGGAAGCGGAAUUUCUGGUGUAGCAGUGAAAUGCGUAGAUAUCAGAAGGAACAUCAGUGGCGAAGGCGGCUUCCUGGACCAAUACUGACGAUCAGGUGCGAAGGCGUGGGGAGCAAACAGG